AAAUGCAGGGACACUGGCUUCUGCAAGGUAAGCAGUAUGAGCUCCUGUGUGAUUUUCACAUUGGCAAUGGAAAAAAAACCUUACCUUUAGCAGAGUCCAAACACAGAAGAUGCAUCCAGCUCUGGGAUUUCUUAGAGGGCAACCCCAGGAAGUAUCAUUUUUGCUUACUCUCAGCACAAGUACAUGGCUCUCAUUAUUGACUCUCCUGGGCAACAGCCAUAAACCAGGCUCAAACACGUAUAAAAAGGGGGAAGACAGCAGGGCUGUAAUGAUCAUGACAGCAAGUGGAAGUGUGAUGGGACAGGGCUCAAAAGAGACAACUACAAAUUGCUCCCGAGGAGCCCAUGAAGGAGCACGUAUAUGGAUAGCGGGAGACCAAGAAUUGAUAGGUAUGAAAGCAGCUCUGCCAACUCUUGUGCAGAACAUCAAACAGUGAAUUUAGACUGCACCAUCUUCCCAUCUCCCUGGAAAAACUUCCGAUGUUCUUGAUUUUAUCCACACAGGGAGGAUGAAAUGCUGUAAAUCUUAAUGAUUUGUGGGAUGGGGGAUAUUUCUCGCUUUCUAUAAAUACGUUAACCUCUUUGUCAGUGGGGAAUAAAGAUCUGCUUUGAAUUCAUGUUGCAUUUUUAAAGUUCCUUUCUAAGAUUCCUUUUUUUCCCCUUUUAUUUCCCAUCUCUUCUCAUGUAUCUCAGAAGAAACCAGCCUGCCAAACUGCUCCAGGAACCUCUUCUAAGCACAUUGGCCUUACUGCACAUAAGAACAACUCUUUCCACUGAUGUUUUUUCACCUGCUCUGGAUGAAGCCUGAGGUACACCCUCAGUGACACUCCUGGGUUCUCCUUUUCCUUUCUGCUUUGGUGCAGAGGUGAAAGUAUCACAAGACAGUGAGAAAUGGAUGGAUUUACUUGACACAAAGAGAAAAUGCUGCUCUGCCAAAAUCAACUUUCUGAUGACAACAGCAGGACCAAAAAUUUGACUCAGGUGGUGUUGCUUUUUGUGUCAUUCAGUCACUAUGAGAAGGAGAGCAUUAAUUCCCAGAACAUUUAUACGCUAUU
ensembl:lncRNA